rnacentral:tRNA from 1 species
UUUAACAAACUAAGGUGUUUAGGUCUAUAUUUCGGCUGUAGUUUUGGAUUUGGUUUGUUAUCCUGUUAAAG